rnacentral:rRNA from 1 species
UACGGGGGAGCAAGCGUUGUUCGGAUUUACUGGGCGUAAAGGGCGCGUAGGCGGUCGUGACAAGUCACUUGUGAAAUCUCCGGGCUUAACUCGGAACGGUCAAGUGAUACUGUCGGACUAGAGUACAGAAGGGGCAACUGGAAUUCUCGGUGUAGCGGUGAAAUGCGUAGAUAUCGAGAGGAACACCUGCGGCGAAGGCGGGUUGCUGGGCUGAUACUGACGCUGAGGCGCGAAAGCCAGGGAGCGAACGGG